rnacentral:rRNA from 1 species
GGUUAAGUGACUAAGCGUACACGGUGGAUGCCUUGGCAGUCAGAGGCGAUGAAAGACGUAGUAACUUGCGAUAAGCCCAGAUUAGGUAGUAACAACCAUUUGAGUCUGGGAUUUCUGAAUGGGGAAACCCACGUGCAUAAGCACGUAUCCUUACCUGAAUACAUAGGGUAAGGAGGCGAACCGGGGGAACUGAAACAUCUAAGUACCCCGAGGAAAAGAAAUCAACCGAGAUUCCGAAAGUAGCGGCGAGCGAAAUUGGACUAGCCCUUAAGCUUUACACGCGUUAGACGAACGGUCUGGAAAGUCCGACGAUACAGGGUGAUAGUCCCGUAGUUGACGACGUGUGUUCAGUGAAAUCGAGUAGGGCGGGACACGUGAUAUCCUGUCUGAAUAUGGGGGGACCAUCCUCCAAGGCUAAAUACUACUGACUGACCGAUAGUGAACCAGUACCGUGAGGGAAAGGCGAAAAGAACCCCUGUGAGGGGAGUGAAAUAGAACCUGAAACCGUGUACGUACAAGCAGUAGGAGCAGGCUUUGUCCUGUGACUGCGUACCUUUUGUAUAAUGGGUCAGCGACUUAUAUUCAGUGGCAAGGUUAACCAUCUAGGGGAGCCGUAGGGAAACCGAGUCUUAACUGGGCGUUCAGUCUCUGGAUAUAGACCCGAAACCAGGUGAUCUAGCCAUGGGCAGGUUGAAGGUUGAGUAACAUCAACUGGAGGACCGAACCGACUAAUGUUGAAAAAUUAGCGGAUGACUUGUGGCUAGGGGUGAAAGGCCAAUCAAACCUGGAGAUAGCUGGUUCUCCCCGAAAGCUAUUUAGGUAGCGCCUCGGACGAAUACUACUGGGGGUAGAGCACUGUUAAGGCUAGGGGGUCAUCCCGACUUACCAACCCUUUGCAAACUCCGAAUACCAGUAAGUACUAUCCGGGAGACACACGGCGGGUGCUAACGUCCGUCGUGGAGAGGGAAACAACCCAGACCGCCAGCUAAGGUCCCAAAUUACUACUAAGUGGGAAACGAUGUGGGAAGGCUCAGACAGCCAGGAUGUUGGCUUAGAAGCAGCCAUCAUUUAAAGAAAGCGUAAUAGCUCACUGGUCGAGUCGGCCUGCGCGGAAGAUGUAACGGGGCUAAGUAGUAAACCGAAGCUGCGGCAAUGUGCUUUUGCACAUUGGGUAGGGGAGCGUUCUGUAAGCGGUUGAAGGUGUGUGGUAACGCAUGCUGGACGUAUCAGAAGUGCGAAUGCUGACAUGAGUAACGAUAAAGGGGGUGAAAAACCUCCUCGCCGGAAGACCAAGGGUUCCUGUCCAACGUUAAUCGGGGCAGGGUAAGUCGACCCCUAAGGCGAGGCCGAAAGGCGUAGUCGAUGGGAAACGGGUUAAUAUUCCCGUACUUCUUACAAUUGCGAUGGGGGGACGGAGAAGGCUAGGUGGGCCUGGCGACGGUUGUCCAGGUUCAAGUGCGUAGGCUUAAGAGUUAGGUAAAUCCGGCUCUUUCUAAGGCUGAGACACGACGUCGAGCAUCUACGGAUGUGAAGUCAUUGAUGCCAUGCUUCCAGGAAAAGCCUCUAAGCUUCAGAUUGUAAGGAAUCGUACCCCAAACCGACACAGGUGGUCGGGUAGAGAAUACCAAGGCGCUUGAGAGAACUCGGGUGAAGGAACUAGGCAAAAUGGUACCGUAACUUCGGGAGAAGGUACGCUCUUGAUGGUGAAGUCCCUUGCGGAUGGAGCUGACGAGAGUCGCAGAUACCAGGUGGCUGCAACUGUUUAUUAAAAACACAGCACUGUGCAAAAUCGUAAGAUGACGUAUACGGUGUGACGCCUGCCCGGUGCCGGAAGGUUAAUUGAUGGGGUUAGACUUCGGUCGAAGCUCUUGAUCGAAGCCCCGGUAAACGGCGGCCGUAACUAUAACGGUCCUAAGGUAGCGAAAUUCCUUGUCGGGUAAGUUCCGACCUGCACGAAUGGCGUAAUGAUGGCCACGCUGUCUCCACCCGAGACUCAGUGAAAUUGAAAUCGCUGUGAAGAUGCAGUGUACCCGCGGCUAGACGGAAAGACCCCGUGAACCUUUACUACAGCUUGGCACUGAACAUUGACCCUACAUGUGUAGGAUAGGUGGGAGGCUUUGAAGCACGUACGCCAGUAUGUGUGGAGCCGUCCUUGAAAUACCACCCUUGUAGUGUUGAUGUUCUAACGUCGACCCCUAAUCGGGGUUGCGGACAGUGCCUGGUGGGUAGUUUGACUGGGGCGGUCUCCUCCCAAAGAGUAACGGAGGAGCACGAAGGUGGGCUAAUCACGGUUGGACAUCGUGAGGUUAGUGCAAUGGCAUAAGCCCGCUUGACUGCGAGAAUGACAAUUCGAGCAGGUGCGAAAGCAGGUCAUAGUGAUCCGGUGGUUCUGAAUGGAAGGGCCAUCGCUCAACGGAUAAAAGGUACUCCGGGGAUAACAGGCUGAUACCGCCCAAGAGUUCAUAUCGACGGCGGUGUUUGGCACCUCGAUGUCGGCUCAUCACAUCCUGGGGCUGAAGUCGGUCCCAAGGGUAUGGCUGUUCGCCAUUUAAAGUGGUACGCGAGCUGGGUUUAGAACGUCGUGAGACAGUUCGGUCCCUAUCUGCCGUGGGCGUUGGAAGAUUGAAGGGGGCUGCUCCUAGUACGAGAGGACCGGAGUGGACGAACCUCUGGUGUUCGGGUUGUGUCGCCAGACGCAUUGCCCGGUAGCUAAGUUCGGAAUCGAUAACCGCUGAAAGCAUCUAAGCGGGAAGCGAGCCCUGAGAUGAGUCUUCCCUGAUACUUUAAGUAUCCUAAAGGGUUGUCGGAGACUACGACGUUGAUAGGUCAGGUGUGUAAGUGCUGUGAGGCAUUGAGCUAACUGAUACUAAUUGCCCGUGAGGCUUAACCAU